CAAGUCGAGGGGAAACGAUAUUGGAAGCUUGCUUCCGAUAGGCGUCGACCGGCGCACGGGUGAGUAACGCGUAUCCAACCUGCCCACCACUUGGGGAUAACCUUGCGAAAGUAAGACUAAUACCCAAUGACGUCUCUAGAAGACAUCUGAAAGAGAUUAAAGAUUUAUCGGUGAAGGAUGGGCAUGCGUGAUAUUAGGUAGUUGGCGGGGUAACGGCCCACCAAGGCGACGAUCAGUAGGGGUUCUGAGAGGAAGGUCCCCCACAUUGGAACUGAGACACGGUCCAAACUCC
rnacentral:rRNA from 1 species